UACGAAGGGGGGCUAGCGUUGCUCGGAAUCACUGGGCGUAAAGCGCACGUAGGCGGCUUCUUAAGUCAGGGGUGAAAUCCUGGAGCUCAACUCCAGAACUGCCUUUGAUACUGAGAAGCUUGAGUCCGGGAGAGGUGAGUGGAACUGCGAGUGUAGAGGUGAAAUUCGUAGAUAUUCGGAAGAACACCAGUGGCGAAGGCGGCUCACUGGACUGGUAUUGACUCUGAGGCACGAAAGCGUGGGGAUCAAACAGG
rnacentral:rRNA from 1 species